CAAGAGUACAAAACAGAAUCCACAGCAAGAAAUCCAUCCAGUUGGCUUCUUUAUUGUCACUUACAACUUUCUUGGAACAGAUAGGAGGCGGCCCUGGAGGUGAGUCUGCUGUGUGAUGCAGCUGGACGACUUGUUGUCGGCGAGACUGCGCAGGCCCACGACUCCCGCCCGCUUCUUGACCUCGGCUCCGUCCAAUUCAGGCUCCGCUGCGCCCUGCGUUGCGCAUCAUCGGGCGCCUCCCAGUCUCCGCGUUUUUUUUGCCGUCGUCAGCUGCGCGAUGGUCUGCUAGCCACCAGGGAUCGCUCUAUCACCACUGCAGCCGCUGCAGCCGCCAUCCGCCUUCACCGCCAGAUGCUCCGUUGCCACCAAUGUUUUGCCGUUGAGGCCGUAGUU